CCCGAAUGGAGAUGUUGGACUCGGCCGCUGGCUCCGCCCACAGGCAGGAGAAGGUGCAGGAGGCCGAGGAGGGGGCGGAGCUGCGCGAGGGUGAGGCCCCUCCAGGUGAGGGCGCCGUGGCCGUGCCCGGUCCCCCCGCGGGGUUUCCCGAGGGGGGGCUGCAGGGGCUGCAGGGGCUCCAGUGCCACUUCCGGAGCGACGCCACGGCGGCC